rnacentral:rRNA from 1 species
UGGGGAAUUUUGGACAAUGGGGGCAACCCUGAUCCAGCCAUGCCGCGUGCGGGAAGAAGGCCUUCGGGUUGUAAACCGCUUUUAGUCGGGAAGAAAGGGUUCUCCUGAAUACGGAGGAUUUUUGACGGUACCGGCGGAAUAAGCACCGGCUAACUACGUGCCAGCAGCCGCGGUAAUACGUAGGGUGCGAGCGUUAAUCGGAAUUACUGGGCGUAAAGCGUGCGUAGGCGGUUCUCCAAGUCCGUUGUGAAAGCCCCGGGCUCAACCUGGGAAUGGCAGUGGAAACUAGGGGACUGGAAUCUGGCAGAGGGGGGUGGAAUGCCGCGUGUAGCAGUGAAAUGCGUAGAGAUGCGGCGGAACACCGAUGGCGAAGGCAGCCCCCUGGGCUGAGAUUGACGCUCAGGCACGAAAGCGUGGGGAGCAAACAGGAUUAGAUACCCCCGUAGUCC